UACGAAGGGGGCUAGCGUUGUUCGGAAUUACUGGGCGUAAAGCGCACGUAGGCGGAUCGAUCAGUCAGGGGUGAAAUCCCAGGGCUCAACCCUGGAACUGCAUUUGAUACUGUCGAUCUGGAGUAUGGAAGAGGUGAGUGGAAUUCCGAGUGUAGAGGUGAAAUUCGUAGAUAUUCGCAAGAACACCAGUGGCGAAGGCGGCUCACUGGGCCGGUACUGACGCUGAGGAGCGAAAGCGUGGGGAGCAAACAGG
rnacentral:rRNA from 1 species